CCUACGGGAGGCUGCAGUGAGGAAUAUUGGUCAAUGGCCGAGAGGCUGAACCAGCCAAGUAGCGUGCGGGAAGACGGCCCUACGGGUUGUAAACCUCUUUUGUCGGGGAGAAAAGAGAGUCACGUGUGACUCUUCGAACUUACCCGACGAAAUAGCAUAGGCUAACUCUGCGCCAGCAGCCGCGGUAAUACGGUGGAUGCGAGCGUUAUCCGGAUUUAUUGGGUUUAAAGGGUGCGGAGGCGGAGUUGCAAGUUAGGGGUCAAAUUGCGGGGCUCAACCCCGUAGUGCCGUGGAUACUGGAUACCUAGAGUUCGCUAGAGGUAAGCGGAAUGCGAGGUGUAGCGGUGAAAUGCAUAGAUAUCACGCAGAACUCCGAUUGCGAAGGCAGCAUACCGGCGCGCAACUGACGCUGAGGCACGAAAGCGUGGGGAUCGAACAGGAUUAGAUACCCGAGUAGUC
rnacentral:rRNA from 1 species